GAACGCGUAGCGGCAGGCUUAAUACAUGCAAGUCGAGGGGCAGCACGGUUAGCAAGUAACUGGUGGCGACGGCGCGACGGGUGACGUAACACGUAUACAAUCUACCUUAAACAGGGGGAUAGCCUUUCGAAAGAGAGAUUAAUACCCCGUAAUAAAUUGAACGGCAUCGUUUGAUUUUGAAAGCUCCGGGCGGUUUGAGAUGAGUAUGCGUCUGAUUAGCUAGUUGGUGAGGUAACGGCUCACCAAGGCGACGAUCAGUAGGGGACCUGAGAGGACUAACCCCCACACUGGUACUGAGACACGGACCAGACUCCUACGGGAGGCAGCAGUAAGGAAUAUUGGUCAAUGGAGGCAACUCUGAACCAGCCAUGCCGCGUGCAGGAUGACGGCCCUAUGGGUUGUAAACUGCUUUUAUACAAGAGAAAACCCUGGUACGUGUACCAAGUUGAUAGUAUUGUAAGAAUAAGCAUCGGCUAACUUCGUG
rnacentral:rRNA from 1 species